AUUUUUGUAAUAGCGCAUGGCCUAUUUAGGUGACGAGGACUUACAUUGUCGAUUUAUCAGCGGAUGUGUAAGCGGAGAAGUUUUACUUCGUAAAAUACCUUAAAAAAAUAAAAUCAAAAUUAUAACAAAGAGGUAUUUAAUAAAACA
rnacentral:ncRNA from 2 species